AUUGAACGCUGGCGGCAGGCUUAACACAUGCAAGUCGAGCGGAGCGAGGGUGCUUGCACCUUAGCUUAGCGGCGGACGGGUGAGUAAUGCUUAGGAAUCUGCCUAUUAGUGGGGGACAACAUUCCGAAAGGAAUGCUAAUACCGCAUACGCCCUACGGGGGAAAGCAGGGGAUCUUCGGACCUUGCGCUAAUAGAUGAGCCUAGGUCGGAUUAGCUAGUCGGUGGGGUAAAGGCCUACCAAGGCGACGAUCUGUAGCGGGUCUGAGAGGAUGAUCCGGCACACUGGGACUGAGACACGGCCCAGACUCCUACGGGAGGCAGCAGUGGGGAAUAUUGGACAAUGGGCGGAAGCCUGAUCCGGCCAUGCCGCGUGUGUGAAGAAGGCCUUUUGGUUGUAAAGCACUUUAAGCGAGGAGGAGGCUACUUUGGUUAAUACCCAAGAUGAGUGGACGUUACUCGCAGAAUAAGCACCGGCUAACUCUGUGCCAGCCGCCGCAGUAAUAC
rnacentral:rRNA from 1 species